UUGCAGUUCCGGGUCGCUGCUCGCUCUCGGGCUGCUGUGGGGGCUGGUGACGCUGGCCGGCGCUCACUAGAGGCUCCGGAGGCGGGGCUCUGCCGGCUGCCCGCAGAGCGGCAGUCCUUUUUCUCAGCGGCUGUCUUAAUACGAAUCAAGAUUGUGACCAGACAGUCCAAAGUCUGGCCAAGUAAACAGCCUAUGUGUAUGGACAUCAACUGAGAAAUACCAGCCCGAGGAAACCUUAAUCGCAUUCAAGUUGCUUUGUUCAGGACUCCCAUGGAGAAGUGAAUUUAGGCAUCUCCUGCAAUACUGUGUUGCCAUAAGCCCUUGGCCCACAUUUAAGUGGAAAUUCAUCUAACUUGGGUGCCUGAAACAUUUUAGACACCAGUGUCUAAUCCUAAUCAGUGAAGAUUACUGCAAUAGUUCAAAAGGUCAUCUGUGCCAGAUAGCCACACAGCAAAAAUGUUCGCAAAAUUAAAAAAGAAAAUUGCAGAAGAAACUGCUGUGGCUCAGAGGCCAGGAGGUGCUACUAGGAUCCCUCGGUCGGUGAGCAAGGAAUCUGUGGCGUCUAUGGGAGCUGACUCAGGAGAUGAUUUUGCUUCUGAUGGAAGCAGCUCUAGAGAGGAUCUUUCAUCCCAACUUUUGAGAAGAAAUGAACAGAUACGGAAGUUGGAGGCCAGACUUUCUGACUAUGCUGAACAGGUCCGAAACUUGCAGAAGAUAAAAGAGAAGCUUGAAAUUGCAUUAGAAAAACACCAGGAUUCUUCCAUGCGGAAAUUUCAAGAGCAGAAUGAAGCAUUCCAGGCCAACAGAGCCAAAAUGACAGAAGGACUGGCUUUGGCAUUAGCCAGAAAGGACCAGGAAUGGUCAGAAAAACUGGAUCAGCUAGAAAAGGAGAAAAGAUUUUUGACAGCUCAAUUACAGGAAGUAGAGAACCAGAGUUUGAAUCUUUUCCAAAGGAGAGAUGAAAUUGAUGAAUUAGAAGGGUUCCAGCAACAGGAGCUAAGUAAAGUAAAGCACAUGCUUUUAAAAAAAGAAGAAAGUCUGGGAAAAAUGCAGCAAAAGUUGGAGGCACAGACCAGAGAACUUAGUCAAACCCAGGAGGAAUUGAUGAUCUUUAAUCAGAUGUCAUCAGACUUAAGACAGAAGCUAGAAGAAUUGCAGAGGUGCUAUUCAACGCUGGAAGAGCAGAGAGAUCACGUGACAGCUGCAAAAGCAGGUGCAGAAAGUAAGAUCACAGCCCUAGAGCGAAAGGAACAAGAGCUCCAAGCAUUCAUUCAGCAACUUUCCAUUGAUUUCCAAAAGGUGACUGCUGAAACUCAGGAGAAAGAAAAACUCAUCACGCAUUUGGAAGAGAAGGUUGUGUCCUUGGAGAGGAGAUUGGAGCAGAACUUAUCAGGAGAAGAAUAUGUGCAAGAACUCCUGAAGGAGAAAGCAGUUGCUGAGCAGAAUUUGGAGGAUACCAGACAGCAACUGUUGGCAGCCCGAACCAGCCAGGCCCAGGGCAUCAGCAUCCUGGAGACUCAGGUGAAGGAGCUGGAGCAGAGUCUGCAGGCCUCUGAGGAGAGACUCAGACAGAGCAGUGACCUUGCAGCCACCCAGGAGGUGCAGAUCCAGCAGCUUGUGGCUGCAAACCAGGAGAGUAGCCUUGCGCAGCAGCAGGUCCUUGCCCUGAAGCAGCAGUGCACGGAGCACACGUGUGCACUAGAGGCCCAGAUCGUCGCCCUGCAGCAGGCACGCGUGGCUGACCAGACAGCCGCUGAGCACGCAAUGAGCGAGCUGGAGCGUGAACACACUGCCCUUCAGGAGAGCAGGAAUGAAUAUGAACGUUCUUUACAGCAUCAUCAGAUAGAACUGAAAAAGCUAAAGGAAGAGUGGAGCCAAAGAGAAAUUAUGAGCGUGGCCAUGGCUCAGGCCCUGGAGGAGGUGCAGAAACAAAGGGAAGAGUUCCAGCAACAGGCUGCUGAGCUAAGAGCCACAAUCGAUGAGAAGGAGCAGAUUCUGCAGGAAAAGGCCAAGGUGCUUCUCCAGAAGGAGGAGGAGAUCCUCCAGUUGAAGAAAGGUCACGACUCUGCCCUGCUGCAGAUGCACCAGCUCCAGAGUGAGCUGGAGGCCCUGAGGAGUUGCAGAGCCCAGGAGGCUUCCCCAGCAGAGGCACAGGAGGACCUGCUAAGGCUGGAGGACCCAGAGCCAUGCGUGACUGUGAAGGCUGCACAGGACCCUAUGUACCAGGAUCCCCUUGCAGAAGGAACACCAAAUGGUCAGGUGGGGGCCAUAGAUCUAGGGCAGCUACAGAAGGAGAAACAGGACUUGGAGCAGCAGCUUACAGAGAAAAAUAAGACCAUAAAGCAGAUGCAGCAGAGGAUGCUGGAGCUCAGGAAGACACUGCAGAGGGAGCUGCUGUCAGCCCCACCUGGACUAUCUGAGCUGUUCUUCCUGGGGGCCUUUGGGCCUGCCAGGUGCAGGGAGGUGGAGGAACGAAAAUCAAACCCGACAGUGAGCUUUUUGAAGUCCGGGAGAAGCCAGGCCCCGAGAUGCCAAACAUGGCUCCCUCUGUCACAAAUAACGCUGACCUGACAGAUGUCCGAGAAAUCAACUUCAAGUACCUUAAACAUGUUGUUUUAAAGUUCAUGUCCUGUCGAGAAUCUGAGGCUUUUCAUCUUAUCAAAGCUGUUUCAGUGUUGCUGAACUUUUCUCAAGAGGAAGAGAAUAUGCUUAAAGAAACCCUGGAAUAUAAGAUGUCCUGGUUUGGGUCCAAACCAGCUCCGAAGGGCAGCAUCCGGCCAUCUAUCUCAAACCCUCGGAUACCAUGGUCCUAGAGGAACCACCCAGGGAUUAGCUCCGUGGCUUGACACCUUUUUCUGUGAAAAGAACACUGACAUACCACUCUGGGUGGGUUUUUAAUCACUGUAACUGCAGUAUUUUGUACUCGUGUCUAAACACUGUUUACAAGACUUAAGGCCCACCUCCCUGCAGAACUGACAUGAACCUCAGGAGGGAGCUGAUCCGAUGUCAUUCUGGUCACCAAAUGAGGGUCCCAGCACUACCCAGAUUUCCAGAGUGCUGCUAACACCCAGUCCUGGCCAGCUUACAUCUGUACUCGAGUCCUCUUAACAUUAGCACUUAAAGCUGAAGCAAGCGGUAAGCAUGUCAGGAGGCAGCUGACUCAUCGUGCAGGGGAUACUGGAGGGAGAAACUGCCCUUUGGAGUGGCGCCCAGCAGGCUAGCCCCAUCUGCUCCUCCAUGGAAAGCCACCUCAAAAGGAUGACUUCAUAGCUCUCUCAUAGUGUUUGGGCUCAGAAGAGUUAGUUAGAAGAGGCUUUUAACCCUUCCUCUCAAGAACACAUCAUUUCAGUUUCCCAAACCACCUACAACCUGAGAUGGGUCCAUCUUUUAAGAUAUUCUGGGCCUGAAUGGAUUAAUGAAGAAUAUGCAACUUUCUGAUGGUAUCUCCAUUUUGCUUAGAACUAGCAAACAGAUAAAAGACCCCAAGUAUAGUACCAAAUACACUCAAUUGCCUUUUUAAUGAAUGUACUUGUGUUGGAUAGGUUGCUGGUAAACCAUUUUAAACUAUUUUUUAUAGCUAAACUUCUUUGCUAUUAUAAACAUAACUUCUUUAUUAUAAAAUCCAUUUAAUUGGUAUUCUUAAAGGAAAACCAGAGCAUCAAGAGGAAACUAUUUAUAAAACUAGGGUUCCUGUCCCUUUGUAAUUUUGCCAGCCUUCUGGGGAACAUGCUCUCUGAAGCAGUGGUGGUAUUUCAUCUGCUUCGUUCUUAAUUCUGUCAUUCUACCACUGAGCAAAUGUUAAUCACACCUUUUUACUAAAGGACAAUCUGCUGGAUUUCAACAAAAGUAGCAGCUGUCCCUUCUUGCCCCAACCUUGACCAAAACAUUAGAGGCCACCUAUCUUGUUUGCAGAACCAUCCCUCCCUCCCACCCUACCCCUCUACUUAAGGUGACACUACAUUCACACCUGGCAUCCACACAGCCACAGCUCGCUGCAGUACUUGAUAGCACACACACACCUCUGGCAACAGCUGACAAACACUUAUGCGUUGCCACACUUCUUGUGGAGAAGCCACAUCAGCAAACCUAAAGGGCAACUGUUUUAUGGUUUGAUGAAAGUUUCAUUGGCAAAUAAACUGAAUUAACUAGAGCUCCUAGAUUUAUUAUCAUUUUCUAACUAUUUACACUCUUACGUCUCUCAGUUAUGCUUAAGGUCAAGAAUAUAUAUAUACACACAAAAACAAAAUCCCAUAGAAAAGUACUUGCAGAAUUUACCCACUGAAGUUCCAGGUGUUAUCAAGCCAGGACAUUGCCACUUUAGCCCAGCUAAGGCUUUGCCAUCCAGAAGAGUCAUUCUCCUGUCACCUAGAUGUGGCUCUUCUUGCAGAGUCUGUGCCCUUUAGAGUGCUACCUCCCAUUUAGGUGGGACAGGAAACAGGAGUCCCUUCUGUUCUCUGAGUAAGAGGUAGUGUCUUAUCAAAGUAGGAUUUCCUCCCCUCCAGCUAUUCCAGAAGCAAAGCCUCAGGGCGCCUGGGUAGUCAGUCCAUGGCUUGCCACCUGUGGCCGCUGUCCCUUCCUCUAUCCCUUGCACUGUCUCACCCCACCCCCACUCCCCAGCAGUUUGAAGUUGACUGGCUAAGGGAAGACUCCCUCUGACUAGGCUUUCUUCUUGCAUGUUGACUUUCCUUCAGCUUUAAGGGGAAGAGUGGAAUACAUACUCCAAGUGAUUUAAUGCACUUUUACUUGUAUAAAACUUUCUGUGAUAGACAGUAUAUAUACCCCUUUAUAUAAGCAUUGGAUCUUGAUCUCCCAGUGUUGUAAAUAGGGAUUGUAUAAUCUAAAACCUGCUGUAGAAAACUCAUUUGUGGUGCAAUACAUUUUUUGAUUAAAACUCUUUAAGCCAGA